rnacentral:lncRNA from 1 species
UCUCAAAACCAAACACCAAUAAAUCAUUUUGAUGUUUGUGUAUAAAUUAUUUACAAAUUUUGUAUACAUGUGUGUAAACACGUCUCCAGUGUUAUCAUUCAUUUUCAAGUUAAAAGACGAUGUUUCUAAACUGUAAUAUCCUGAUGGCAUAAAUAAGUUGGAGAACAUGUGCAAUUUAAUAAUAUUCCUGCUUUUUCAUUAAAACUAUGCAACCUACCUGGCUAAAAUGAAAACAUUCUAGCAAGUAGAUUGAGAAUCCUAGCCGUGUGUAUAUUAUUUUCAAGUAAUCCAAAGAAACAAUAGUCUGUGAAUAACUCUAAUAUUAAGCAACAUUAAUGAGUUCAACUACCAGAUAUGCUCAUCUAUACAAUCAAAACAUAAUAGUUUUUAUUUCAGCAAUGAACAAAAACUACAGCCAUGAAAGCAACUGACAAUAGAUAAAAUUGAUAGUUUAAAUACAAAUGCAUAAAUUGGAAUACAAAGAAAGAGGUACAUACUCUUAUGAGGAAAAAGAGGAUUAACUCUGAAUCUCAUAAUUCAAUAUUAAUUUUGGGAAAACUUUGUUUAGUACCAUCACUGCAAUAUUAUCAAAGGACACUAAAUCAAAUUCUAGAAAAUGAAAUAAAAAUUUGAGAAUUUGAUACAUGUCGUAUACAUAAAUUAACAGACGUAUGCUUAAGCCUUUACAUCAUCUACUGAAAUUGGAAAACUCCAUCAUAAAAAAAGCAAAAUAACAAUGUAUGUAAUACUUGAUCUUGCUAGGGCACAAACCAAGAGGUGCCAUGUAAGAGAUAUUAAUCAUCUGCCAAAUAACUUAGAAAUCCGUCUGGAAAACAAACUCCUACUCUACAAAAUAAUCUCUUAUAUUACCACACAGCUGUGAAAUAUCAAGAAUGUAUAUUCUUGCAAGUACUACCUUGACAUUGUUUAAAAAUACCAAGAAUGAGCACUCUGCUAUUAAAAUGAGCAUUACUAUAGAAUCGCCGACAGAAAAGCAUUGCAUCAGUAAAAACGAACUGCGACUUUGACACACCAAAGCAGUGAUCUGAUGUGAGCAUUAGUGCCUCCUAUCAUGAGAACACUAUUGCUGUCAUGCUCACUGCGAAUAUUCUAUACCACAUCCAUUAGAAAAUGGAGUAAUUUAGAUUCUGAGUUGGUAUCAUUUAAGAUACAAAAUAGCGAAUAUGUAACUCUUUCCAUAAAGCAACUAUCUCAAGCUUGCCAUUGACCUUUCAAUUAUUGCAAGAUCAGAAUUAAACCCCAACCAUUGGAAGAACAAAAAAUAGAUUUAAAAAAAUUCAAAAAUAAACUCCCAAGUAUGAAUAAUAAUUUAUAAAAUAAAGACAGAAUUCAGAAAAAAUAUUUCAUUGUCUAAGUUAGUAUAACUGCCAAAUCUAAUACAAAACUGCAAACAAAUUGAUCCCACACUGACAGAAGAAUACCAAAUUGUGGCCCCUUGGUACUUAUGAGCAAUAAUACAGUUGGUGAGAGAAAUGGUAAAAAGAAGAAAGCAAUAUAACCUAGUUCAAUAAAAAAAUUUCCUCACAAUUGUAUUUUCCCUUUGUUGGGGUCAUAAAAACACAACUCAUUAUGAUUGCAAAAAUUUUAAAUCACAAAAUACCAAUCAAGCAAAUUAAAUUGAAAUAUAACAGUCUAGUGUCUUGAUACUGGAAAAAUCCAUUUAUAAAAAAUAUAUAUAUAUAUAUAUAUAUAUAUAUAUAUAUAUAUAUAUAUAUAUAUAUAAAGAAAAUAUUUAUAAAAUUUGAGCAACAUCUAAUAAGCUUCAAAAUAACUAAAAAGUGGUACCUUUACCACAAAUUGAAGCAAUAGGCAGCGUAGACUUGACACACUAAUUCACAACAUGAAAAAAAAUCAAAUUUAAAUCAGCAAUAAACUGAACCUACACACAGGUAAGUGAGGUGAAAAAUAAAGCAAAAGAAAUUAAACAUUACCCCUAAAAUAUAAUCCUCCUAAUUAUUUGAAAAUGAUAUACAUAAAUGACACACCUGGAGGAAGAAAAGAAAGAAAGUACACUUGUUUAACAUUUAGAAACUAAAAAAUUGCAUAAAUUAGAAAUAAAACUAACAAAUAGCUUUUCCAAAAAACAUAUUGCGAUCACAGAGAGAAGAGAAGGGGGGAAAAAGAUAAAGAAAAAAACUAAUUACUACUAUUUUAGUUAGACAUACAGAGUAUUGGCGUGCUGAAUAUCGGCUUCAAUGAUUUUGAGAGAAUCCUUGAAAGACUUUCUCAUAGAUCCACCACCACCUACGUUGUACAUCUGUCCUUUUUCCUCUUCCUUGUCCGAAAAUUUGUUCCUCAGAAGAACCAAAUAAAACAAAAAACGGAUAGAAAGAUGAAUGAUUCACGACAAUUCUAAAAUUUUCCAAGAUAGAAAGUGUGCCUCCAUUAUUUAUACAUGCACUUUUUUAUGAAAGAAUAGCAAACCAUUAGAAUCACUUCGACAAUAAAAUAGGACUGAAUGUUUAUAAAAUCUUUAGUUGCUCACAUAACUUGGUGCCCUUAGAUGUUGUAUCCAAUCUCAUCACCUGAUAUUGUUGUUUUAAGAAAACUUGUUAUGCUUCUUGCAUUUGUACUUUGAAUUGAAACACCAUUAAUAAAACUUAUGGCUCCAAUUACUUAAAAUUUUCUGUGAGAUGCAACCUGUUUUUCUUCAAAGAGCAUAAUAAAAGACAAAAACAUCAAGUAACUUACAUAAAAGCCGACUCCUAAGAUUUAUUGGAGUUUUAUAACAAUGAUUAACCUUUAUCCAAAUUGAAAAUAGUAAACUCCCCUACUUACUGAAAGUCUCACCUUUCACAAUCUCACUUGAAACCAAGAUAUCCUCCUUAACUAAGCUCAGACUCCCCAACUUUACACUCACAUUAACAACUUACGCAGUUUGACUAACACAUAAGAUCAACCACUUUCCACAGAAAAUUUUCAACUGAACUACAACUUACUCGGCUAUCGGGAGAAAAUAAUGUUGCAUAAUAGUAAUUUUGUUAUUUACAAAUAUAUUACAAAUAUAGGCUCAUUUUAAUCAGAGUACUUCUAACUGCUAAAAGAUAUGUUUGAUUUUUUUCCCUUAAACUCCUAAAUCAAAGAUAUUAAAAACUGUAAUAUGAAGAUAUUAAAUCCCAAGCUUAAAAUUAAGUCAUAAUCUCCUAACAACUAUUGAGACAUGCACUGAUUAGGCAUCAAAAUAGAGCAUUGUAAUAUAUAAAUCAUAAUGUAAAGUGAGACAUCUUAAAUCAAUUUGAAUUCAUCUAAAUUGAAAUUAAAAACAUACAAAUUGGUUGCCCAUGAAGAGAUUUAAGGUGAUUCCUUCUGUUAAUCAUGAAACUCUCGUUCGGGUGAUUCGUUUGAUUAAUCGUGUAAAUCUCGUCCGGUGAUUCCUCCAGUUAAUCGUGCAAGUCGCAUCCUUGAUUUAUAAAUUUGUACGAUUUUUUCUCUAAAACUAUUGAAGGACGUAACAAAUUAGGGAUGUUGAAUGGUUUUCGAGUGAAUAGAUGGAUAAGAAGAGAUUGAGCGGCUUGAAUGUGGACAGAGGAAAGGAGCGGAAGGGCUGUGGAAAACCCCUCACCUUCCACCGCACUGCUGAAGACGUCUCCCGUAGCAGUAGGAAGCGCCUGGGGAUGGAUGAAAACUAUGUUCUUCCGGUCCUUCUCCGUGACUAAGAGAUCAAACCGACUGAUUGAUUAUUGAUGAAGAGAUGGGAUUUAUAUAGUAGGAGGAGAUGUAGAGAUGGGUAGAUGAUUGGGCAAUUAAGAAUUCCUUAGUCGAUUGACACUAAGAAGAGAGGAAGAGAUGAUUGGGAUUUAUAUAGGGAUGGAUCGUUGCUAAGGAUGAUUAAGAGGAAAAGGAAGAGAAAGAGAUUAGACCAACUCAGUAAAUAACUUAAAUUGAACGAAAUUGGUUCAAAUUGAUUAAGGGUCAACUCUAAAUUGGGAUUGCUUAGGAUCGUUUUUGCUACCUUUAUAUAUAAGUAUUGAUUAGAAUUGAAGCACAUUUGCAAUUCUAUGAAAUUAAAAUUUAGUUAAAAUUUGACGCUCAAUUUUAACUUCAAGAUCUGGGAUUGAGUUGCCAAACAACUUAAUAAAAGUAAAAGAACAAAAAAAUAAUCUCGGAUUGCUAUUUUUUUUGGCUAUAUUCAACUGAAUCCCAACACAUGCCUUAUGAAUAAUUUUUUUAUCAUUGAGCCAUGAUGGACUUGGUAUUACUGGUAUUUUCUUACAUACAUAGAUAUAUUCAGCCAUAUAAGUGGUGGAGAUCCUAAAAUUCAAGCAGGAAAGCAAAUGAUAUAGCUUUUGCUAUUAUACAUACAACAGCCCGAAAUGAGCAGAACUAAUUUAUCCGAAUAAUGCUACGGUGACAAAAGAUGGUUACAAAAUGAUAUGCCGAAUUAUAAUUAGUAGAUGUUCCACUAUGUAUAUAACCAAUAACCUAUUACUGCCAUCAAUAUUAUUUUGUACAUAAUCUUUUGUCACUAAAGUAUUAUUGUACUUUUAUAGAAAUUCAAG